rnacentral:lncRNA from 1 species
CCCAUUGCAUAUUUGCUCAAUAACGUCAUGAUCUGGACCCAACAUUGAACUAGGCACCCGACCACUCGUGCGCACCAUUUUGCUGCUUACCUGAACAACAAAGGAGGAAAAAGGCAUCAGCUUGUCAUGCAUAUAGGUGGUUUUGUUGCAGCAGCACAGCACGUUCUAUCGAUUCUUGCUGUCGGUACUGUUAACGACGCCAUUUGUUCAGUAAAUGCAGUUAAAUAGUCUGGUAUUCCAACUUAAGAUGUCACUGCCGUCUACAUUUUGUAUCGUUGACAUUUAACAAGAUUUAAAUCUUCAUGCGUCCAUCCAAUAGGCAAGCCAGAGGCACCUACAUACAUCACAUAAAACUAAUCUUAGAAACACUUCAUUGGCUUUGGAGGUAAGUAAUUAAGAUUUUUUUUUUACCAAGCAUCUUAACUUAUGCUGCAGAACAACCCAUGUUUCCAGAGUAUAACAGGUUACCAAGCGUUUGCAGAACUAAUUGCAGAGCUG